UGCGUAGGCGGACUAAUAAGUCAGUGGUGAAAUCUCUCGGCUCAACCGGGAAACUGCCAUUGAUACUGUUAGUCUUGAGUUCGGUUGAGGUAGGCGGAAUGUGUAAUGUAGCGGUGAAAUGCUUAGAUAUUACACAGAACACCAAUUGCGUAGGCAGCUUACUAGACCGACACUGACGCUGAGGCACGAAAGCGUGGGUAGCGAACAGGAUUAGAUACCUGGUAGUCC
rnacentral:rRNA from 1 species